UACGUAGGGUGCGAGCGUUGUCCGGAAUUAUUGGGCGUAAAGGGCUCGUAGGCGGUUUGUCACGUCGGGAGUGAAAACUCGGGGCUUAACCCCGAGCCUGCUUUCGAUACGGGCAGACUGGAGGUAUGCAGGGGAGAACGGAAUUCCUGGUGUAGCGGUGAAAUGCGCAGAUAUCAGGAGGAACACCGGUGGCGAAGGCGGUUCUCUGGGCCAUAACUGACGCUGAGAAGCGAAAGCAUGGGGAGCAAACAGG
rnacentral:rRNA from 1 species